GGCAGAGGCAGGGCAGCUUCCCCGGCCCCUCCGCCGCGCAGGUGACCCAGCGCCAGGUGAGCCCCGCGGGGGCACCUGUGGAGCCCGUCCCGCCUCUGCCGGCGGCUCCUCGGGCGCCGGGACCGCGGGGGAUGCUCGGGGGAUGCUCGGGGGAUGCUCGGGGGAUGCUCGGGGGAUGCUCGGGGGACGGGUCCGGCCUCCCCCGGCCCUGGCUGUGGAGCCGAGAGGGUUCCUGGCCGUAUCCCGGAGGGAUCCUGGCAGGAUGCCGCCAUCAGCACCACGGACAGCGCCCGGCGGCGCCUCCGGGGCAGGGCUGGACCGGGACGCGACCCGGGCAUCCCUGACCGGGCACCGGGCACCGGGCACCGGCACCCGCCCGGACCCUCCCCGGAGAUCAACGGCGGGUCCCCGAGGCGACGCUGGACUGUUCCCGGGCCAGGGAGAUGUCAUAAGUGGAUCCAACCCUAUCCCUGACAGAGGUCUCUGAAGAACAGGGAAUUCAGGGUGCCAAGAAAACCCCGGGGCAGACGGGAGCGCGAGCGGCGCCGGAGGGACACGAGGAGCAGGGACAGGGCUGCAGGCAAGCUGUGCUGAAGCCAGGAAUGGACUGACAGAGGAAUCCCCAGGGCCCCAGCAGGAUGCAUUAACAGUGUGUCUCUCUGGUGAGCUGUGAUGGGAAGAGCACGGAGCAAAAA